GUGCAAGCGUUAAUCGGAAUUACUGGGCGUAAAGCGCACGCAGGCGGUCAAUUAAGUCAGAUGUGAAAGCCCCGAGCUUAACUUGGGAAUUGCAUCUGAAACUGGUUGGCUAGAGUCUUGUAGAGGGGGGUAGAAUUCCAUGUGUAGCGGUGAAAUGCGUAGAGAUGUGGAGGAAUACCGGUGGCGAAGGCGGCCCCCUGGACAAAGACUGACGCUCAGGUGCGAAAGCGUGGGGAGC
rnacentral:rRNA from 1 species